rnacentral:misc_RNA from 1 species
AACAAGGCGUACCUGCGGACCUGCGGAGGGAUCAUUACCGAGUUUACAACUCCCAAACCCCUGUGAACAUACCUAUACGUUGCCUCGGCGGAUCAGCCCGCGCCCCGUAAAACGGGACGGCCCGCCCGAGGACCCCUAAACUCUGUUUUUAGUGGAACUUCUGAGUAAAACAAACAAAUAAAUCAAAACUUUCAACAAUGGAUCU